rnacentral:rRNA from 1 species
CCUACGGGAGGCAGCAGUGGGGAAUAUUGGACAAUGGGCGCAAGCCUGAUCCAGCAAUGCCGCGUGAGUGAUGAGGGCCUUCGGGUCGUAAGGCUCUUUUACCCGGGAUGAUAAUGACAGUACCGGGAGAAUAAGCUCCGGCUAACUCCGUGCCAGCAGCCGCGGUAAUACGGAGGGAGCUAGCGUUGUUCGGAAUUACUGGGCGUAAAGCGCACGUAGGCGGUUAUUCAAGUCAGAGGUGAAAGCCCGGGGCUCAACCCCGGAACUGCCUUUGAAACUAGAUGACUAGAAUCUUGGAGAGGUCAGUGGAAUUCCGAGUGUAGAGGUGAAAUUCGUAGAUAUUCGGAAGAACACCAGUGGCGAAGGCGACUGACUGGACAAGUAUUGACGCUGAGGCGCGAAAGCGUGGGGAGCAAACAGGAUUAGAUACCCUGGUAGUCCACGCCGUAAACGAUGAUAACUAGCUGUCCGGGUACUUGGUAUUUGGGUGGCGCAGCUAACGCAUUAAGUUAUCCGCCUGGGGAUACGGUCGCAAGAUUAAACUACAAUGAAUUGACGGUGAGAGACGUCGACCGAGCGACGACGGAGGGUAGAGG